ensembl:snoRNA U3 Small nucleolar RNA U3
AGAGAGAAGCUUCUCUGAUUGUGUAGAGCACCAGAAGCCACGAGGAGGACGUGUAGUGUUCCCUCCUGAGUGUGAAGCCAGCUCUUGGUGUUGCUUGAGUGCAACUGCCACUUGCCAUUGAUGAUUGUUCUUGCUGUCUCCUCCGAGUUAGUGAGAGGGGAGGAACACAGUCUGAGUGGU